rnacentral:misc_RNA from 1 species
CGUAUCCGCAGCUGCGAGCGAUCGUUGCACGUGUGCGCUCAUCUAACGCCGUCUGGCCAGGAGAGAGACCGCAGGCGUGUCCGAAGCACGAAGAAACACAGUGCUCACUCUCCCACCGACACAGUGAAGAAGGGGUGGAGUGCCGUCAUGAAGAGCAGCCGAUCACACGUCUCCUCCUCGCCACCACGCGAGCGCCCUCUGCCCUCCUCCAGCGCUGAGCCCGGCGCGGCAGGCGACCCUGCUGCCACGGCAACGGCAGCAGCGACGAGCCUUCUGUCCCGCCUCCAGCGUGUCGCCACCACUGGAUCACACGCAGCCGUGGAAGACGCGGAGCUUUCGGAGCUGCCGCUGCUAUGGGCCGCCAUCGAGUCAUCCGUGUCGAUGGCCACUGCAGCAGCAUUAUCGUCAUGUGCACCGUCGUCGGCAUCGACGUCGCCUGUGGCAGUUGCGGACACGCUGCACGAAGGGCCACACGCGCGAUUCAUUACAGAGACAACGGCGAUGCUCUGGGGCGGCGACUACCCGUCGUGGAUGGUGCAGCAGUGGGUGCGCUUGGGCGACGUCGAAGACGACGAAGAGGAUGGAAGCACUGAUGAAGCGGCGGUGGCGGUCGAGCCCGGUGGCAGUAGCGCGACAGGCGUCGCCAACGUCGAGACAGCGGCCGCGACGGCACUCGGGCGCGAAGAAAUCGAGGGGACGCACGGUGAGAGUUUCGUCGAGCCUCAGCUGAGCGGCCAGGGCGCCCAUCUGCCCCACCCACCGCCGAGUCGCCACAGUGAAGCAGAGAGGGUAGAAGCGGCGGCGAGUGCUGUUGUGAGUAGUAGCAACGCGCCGGUGCCGGUGCCGUCACCGAGCUGGACGUUCAUGAUGCAGCAGGCGCUCGAGGCGCUGCAGCUCCGCCUGCCGCUCCACCACGACUACCCUCCACCACAGCUGCAACUGGCGUCAACUGGAGAGGCGCCUGUCACGACCCUCGCCGAGCACCUCGUGCAGGAUGCCCCGCUGCUGUGGCUGCGCUACCUGCUUGUCCCUAUGUACACGCAGUGGACACAGCAGCGCGCUGCUGCCCCUCCUGCUGUAGGCGCCGCGGCAACAACCACGACGGCACCAAUACCGUCAUCCUCGUCGUCGCGGUCCGCCACGACGGUCCUUGAGCGUGACGGCUCCGUCACCAUGCACGAGCUGCUCGGUGCUCUUGGCAAAGCCAGCGUGCGCGAGGCACUGCGUAAGGAGCAGUCGUGGUCGGACGACCUCGUCCAGCUGGUGGCUGCCGCAGCAGCAGCGCCGCCAUCUGACGCGUCAGCGACGCUGAAGGCACUAAACGGACGCCAGGCGGCGAUGCGCGAUCAGCAGCGGCAGCACACCGGGGAGAUGCUGUAUUUCACUGGCGCCCUUGCCAAGGCAGCGCAGUCCUUCAUGGUGCUCGGCCAAGGCGGCUACGCCAUCCUCGCCUGCCUCAUCAUACGACUGCUCGGCCGCGCGAGAGCUGCAUGGGCAGAGUGGGCGAGUUCGCUGACGGAGGCAGACGUUCAGCGCGCAGCUCAGGUGGUAUACCGCUGCGGGGGUCACGAGACGCGCGCCGACUGCGACAGCAGCAGCAGCAGUAGUGUGAUGGCAGAGGAUAAUGCAGAGGAGAAGGCGCCUGCUGAGAAGCGCAUCCGAGUUGAGCCGCCACCGCGACGCAGCGCGCCGCGCAGUGGCGUCCCGCGCAUCACCGCUGUGGAGUCAUUCGCGGCCCUGCGUGCUGCUGUGAGCUCGGCGGCGCAACGGCAGGCGCACCUGGUGUGGCGGUGCUGGUACGUCCUCCACGGCUACUACGGCGCGGACCUCUACACAAGCGAAGUGCUGGCGCGUGCUUUGGAAGAGGAAGACCUGGAGAAGGCGGGCGUGCGUCGGCUGGCGGCGGCGCAGCAGGCGCACUGGCGUCGACUGCGGCUCGCGGCAGACGUGAAGCAGCACGCGCUAUCCGAGACGCACUGGCUGUGGUGCUCCACGCUGCUCGCCUCGGUAGAGACGACGCUGAUGGCAGCACUGAGCGAAAAGCGCGCCGACGAACACGCGCCGGUCGGAGCAUGCGCCACUGAACUCUUGUACAGACGGCUCCUGGAGGGCACCGUUCGUGCCUUCACUGCAGAGCUGCGCGACACGCUACGUGUGUACGGAGAGGCUGCUCUCGCCCUCCGCAGCGGCGGCCUGCACAGCUCCACCUUCACGGUCCCCUCCGCUCUGCAGACGGUGGCGCACAACGUGGUCGCGCUGCAGGAUGCAUUUUCUCAGUGCUUGGCUGCAUCUCUAGAACAUGCACCCGCCGCCGCCAUGGGCCCGCAUCAGAGAAAGUCAGGGCUGCACACCCAGGCCGGUGUGUACCUGUGGCAGCUGUACCCGACGCUGCUGCGAGUGCAGGUACCUGAGGAGGCGUCGUGGAUGAGCACCACUGGCACAGAGCAGGCCGGCGACACCCUUGGAGCGAGCGGCUCAGCCGAGGUGGCAGCCGGGUCGUUUUCCGCGCAGUUCCAUCGCCACUGGCAGCGUCGUGGGCGGCAUCUGUCCGCUGUAAUGACGGAUGCCUUCCACUGCAUGGAACAGGCGUUGACGCAUGGGCGGCGCCGCGCCACUUCUCCGUCGCUGCUGCCGCUGUCAAGCAGCACUGCAGCACCGAUCACCGCGACCGCGCCAGUGUCGAAAACGUGUGACGGCAGCGGGGGUGCCAGCGACGACGUCCGUGGCAGAAACGACGCGGAUGAUGGCGCUGCUACGGCACGUUUUCUUGCCGCCCUCGUGCACAGCCCUGCGGGGGAGUUUGCGGCGAGCAGCAGCAGUGCUAGCAACGACACAUGGACGGCGGCGUUGUGUGACAUCGCCGCAGACUUCUACGCCGUGUACGACCAGAGCUGUUUCUUUAUUCUCCGCCCCGAACGGCAGCGACUCUUCACCCUCUCUGUGCGGCGGCUCUACCAUCUCCUGAUGGGCCCGCCAGACGGAAGCUCCGCCGGUUCCUCUCCGUCCCGAGCCGCAGCUUCCCGCUCAGCCACAAAGACGACGCCACCGCCCCCCCAGCAGCCGCUUGUGUGCCUCCUGCGUCGUGACACGCGCUUGUGGAUGCUGCUGACGCAUGGUGUGCUGCUGCAGCUGGAGCGGCGAGGUCGCGUGGCGCGCGAGGAUGAGGCGCUGCUCGCGUCUUACCUCCUGCCGCUCAUGACUCUCUUAGGGAGUAGGCAGCACGACGGUGAAGUCGAGCGGGGUAGCGCAGACCGCUCUCUACCAUACAUAGCGACAGAGGCGUCGCCGGUGUGGGCAGACACCGCUGUCGCCGAGGAUAUUCUGUUGCUCCUUGCCAGCGGCCUCGCCUCGCUCCCGUGGAACUUGGAAGAGGUCUAUGUCACGGUGCAGCGGCACACAGCCCUGUGUCUGCGUCACUGCACGCGGCACCAAGGGCGGCUAUCGGCUAACGGGGCGGCGACGGUGACGGAGAUGGCGGCGUGGUUCGGUGCUGCCGAGCUUGCGAGCACGUCAGCGCCGCCAGCAUCCUCGGCGACUGCCGUGGCCUCGCCGUGGGACUUCUCUGGCCUCGCUGAGGUGGGCUCCCUAGCUGCGCGGAGCGGCGGAGGUGCAGCAGCCCUGGCCAGAGAGACGGCGCAGAUCGACGCGCAGUGCCGCCGAGACAACCCGCUCCUCGCGCACCGCGGAGACGAAGCGGCGUCGGCCUUCGCUGCCGCUGACGCGCACAACCCCACGUUAACAGCACUGCCCUGCCUUUCUGAGGACGCCAUGGACGCGCGCUUCGCUGCGGCUCUCGCCCGCCACGGCCGCCUCGCCUCCGCCUCUCUCGCCUCAGCGCCGUGCGGGCUGCUGAUGGUGGUCGGUGCCUACCGCAGCUGCGGCCGCGCCCUCCACGGCCUCCGCGCUGCGCUGGAGGAGCAGCAUCGCAUGGCGCGUGAGGACGAGGUGGGCGAGUUCGUUGGCCGCACCGUCACCUUCUGCACUUCGGAGGACAUCACCGCCUUCCGCGCUCUCGUGACGACGGUGCACAGCUGCGUCUUCGGCUAUGCCUGUCAGCCACGCGGGCUGCUGCGGCUAUGGCUGGGGUACCUCCAGCACCUCUUCGACUGCGUGGUGCCGCGGUCGUCGGCGUCGUCGUCGUCAGGGGACCCCCUGUGUACCGAGGGAGAAGACACACUCGUGCUGAUGCCGAGCAGCUGGCAGCGGCGACACCACAUAACAACCUUGUUUGGUGCGCGGGUGCACCGCACCGGGUGGCGGGCGCUGCAGCACGACGGCGAGCCGGCAUCGCAGACGCGGCUGCGGGAGGUGCUGGGCGAGUGCUUGGCGAACCUCAUGUUGCUGCCUUACUCACACACUCGUGGAGAUGCCGACCGCAGUGAGAAUGACGCAGCAAUGUCGACGGUGGCGUCUGAGCACAAGGGCGCGGCCGCCGCCACGCAGGCGAUUCUGCAGCGCACGCUACCUCACACUGUGCUGGAGAUUCUAUGCGAGCUGCUUCGCAUACCUGUUGAAGGCAACCGGGAUAGUGCGAGCUACAGGGAGAAGGUCGCCGCCGUGGACGCGGGUGGAAAGGCCAUCGAAAAGAGUUUCCUCGGUCUCGCGGGGCUUCUCGCCUUCCUUCGUCGGCUGGAGCUGCUCGUGGUUCCUGGCAGCCUGCAGGAUCGUCGCCUUGUCCACAUGCUGCGACGCGUGUACGAGGCAGCUGACGCGGCAGCGCUCGGCAUCUGAGCACGCGCUCCACAGUCGCCCCUUCCCUCUCGCUUUCCGGGCCUAUUCAGAAGUGUGAGGGCACACUUCGGCUUUCUCUCCUCCACGCGUCGGUUUUUGUUUGCCGCAGAGCAAAACGCAAGCGCCGCUCGGCCCUGCUACAGCCCCCCCCCACCAUCACCACCACCAGCACCGUCUGCGUGGUGCGAUGCGGUCGUAGAGACACGCGUCGGCACAGCAGUGCACAGGCCCAGCCAUCUGAGCAUGACUCCUGCCUCCAGCUCUGCCCACCCCCACCCCACCUUGCUGGUCGCUGCGACGUAACACCAUCCAGGACCUGGCCACCGACAUUUAUAGCGACACAUCUCACCGACCUCCUCGUGGAGAGAGCGGGGGAGGGGGGCAUGUGCGCGUCUGCUGCGGCAUAUGUCUCUGCGUCCGUCCGCCGGUCGGUCUUUGCAGGGUCGCACAUAGGGAUCGAGCCUCUUCCACUCACCACCUCAAUGAAGCGAACGCACAUGUGUAUGCACACGACGAAGUGCCUACGCGCGUGUGCCGCGGUCCGUCACCGCGAGUGCCAUGAUGAUCCCGACAACGACUCACUGC